UAAAAAAUAUAAAUAAAAAAGCAUAAAAAUUGUGUGUAAUUAAGAAAUUAUUAUAUAGUAUAGUGUAAGAAAUUAAUUUAAAUUAAUUUUUAAGAGAAAAAAUUUAAUUCAGAACAAAGAAUAGAUAGAAAAGCCAUGACUUUUCAAUUAACCAAACAAUACUUGUUAGCCAAGAUUAUUAUGGUAAUCUGAUGUAUACUACACUCUACAUUCGCCACUCUCUUAUUCAUUGGAUACAAUACAGAGAAUACAACAUACAGAACCAGUAAUCGGCCAAUCAGUUAAGUCGAGCAUUGUUUCGAACAAACGCGCGAGAGCACCAGAGGGUUGUCCCUAAUCCUUGCGGCCUAUCGAAAAUCCAUGAUCGAAAUAUAUCUACUCUGUCAAACGCAUGCGUACCUAGAUCGGGCUACCCUUUCGUCCGACAAGGAUUUUUACGGCUUUCAAUCCUGUCAGAAUGAAGGACGUGUCGCCUCUGGAUUUGCCAUCGAAAUCUUUGUUAUGUACUUUGCCAUAAAUCAGGAUGCGCUUCAAUCGAUGGGUUAUGAUCCGAUCACGUGGAAUAUAUUAAAUCAACGGUGGACGUAUGGGUCACGUGCCGUCGUUGAUGGGAGAAUUAUCGUCCACGAAAGAGGCUUCCCACUCUCUAUUGUGGCCACGACGGUUGAGGGUUGAGCAAAACAGAGACAAGAAGAAGAUAGAAAAGGGAGUAAAAGAGAGAUGGUCGAACGACAGAAACGCAAAAGGGUGGUUUUGCCCAGACUCACAAGUGGCAGCUUUUAAUCUCUUCCAGGGAUAUCUCAACUCGAAAUUAACUGAUAACAAAUCAUAUCCAUUGAAAAUAUCAACCUAAUGGAAGAUAUAAAACUACAGACACGAAAGUAAAUGUUUAAUAGUCUGCUCUAAAUAAUAGAAGAGACACAAGGUGGGAGGUUACGGUGCUAAUUGACCGAUCAAUCUUCAUUAGAAAACGGCUUAAUUACAGUACAAGCUCUCUCUCUUAGAAACUCCUCUCCGUCGUAGCCAUCGUUUCCUUCACCUCCUUUCUUCCGGUGCCCUGGAAAGUUUAAUAAUUCCGAAACCUUGGUGAGAUAUAAAUCACAGAGGUACCUCUCUCGAUGCCGUCCUCCUUUUCCCUCUGCCUUUCUCUUCGCUAUGGCCAUAAUUCGAAAAACUUUCGAGGGAACAAAAGUGAGGACUUUUGUUCCAAGUUUUAGUCCUUCAUCUCAUUCCUCGUUCGUGAGGGCGCUGUGUUUGCGGAGCGACGCCCCGACAGUGUUUUGUUCGCUUUGUCUCUUUUUCCUGUUAGGUAUACAAUGCCGUAACUGCCUGGACCAUCUCUUCGCGUACCUCCUUCGCGUCCAACCACGAAAGAUUCCAAGUUUCUCUCUUUUCCUCCCUUUACCAUCUCGCUCUUCUUUGAUUCUUGAUCUUCCUUUUUCUGUCUCAUUCUUUCUUCACUUUAUUAUUUCUCUUUCUCCGUCACGCUAACCAGAAGAAGACGAGAUAAAGUACGUAUACGCAAAACAUCGAGGGUCUCGCGGUGUUUUGUUGGGUAAAAGAAGGAUAGGAAGAGAACAAAAUGGAACGGAGUACCGCCCACGCAUACAGAAGAAAGACCGGUGAACAAGUUCAUUCCGAUUCUUCUAUACCUUUUCUACCUCUUAGUGGGACCAUUAAAUCUUCGUUGAACAGAUCGGUUAACCAUUCGAUCUUUAUGUAAUGAUUAAUAGUGCACAAAUACAAUAUAUUGGUUUCUUUUCUAAUUUAUCAAGUCUAAUUGAUAUUAGAAGUGAAUCCUAUUGAUCGAUUAAUUUUGAAAACUGUAUAUAUAUUUUUAUUAUUACACUUCCAUCAAAUGUUAUUCAAUGAGUAUA